rnacentral:lncRNA from 13 species
AUGAGGGUGUGUCUUUCUUAUGAGUUUGAACUGCCGGCAAAGGUACUCAUUGCCAAAAUCCAUAAGUAUCCAUUUAAUAAGCAGAGUUCAUAUAUCACGCUGGAAAGCAUAGAACACUGCGUUCCAGUGCCUGCGAUUACAUUUUGUGUUUGUAUUGGUUACAUUUUGUGGUUGAUUCUGAUAGGCAUGUCUCCUCUCCUCUCUCCUUUCUCUUCCUCUCAUUUCUCUUUCCUCUCCUUUCUCCUGGACCAAACUCUUUCAUUCAGGAUGAUGUCAUCCACUGAGUCAGGAACAGAUGUUCCUAAACUACAUCGCCUUUUCAUCAUGUUUGACCCAGAGGUUGUAGCGGUGAUGUCGAUACUCCUGGGUCUAUUCCAGGUGCUGUUGGCUGUGCCUCUGUACUACAUAGACAUUGGUUUACCCAAACUACAACUCACGCUCCCUUUAUUUAUUGGCUUCCUGUUUGUGAUGGCAGGGUCGUUCGCCUUCGCCUGUGAGAAGUCUCCCAGCAGACAGCUACUGACAGGCUGUGCCUACACUAACGUGGCCAGCCUGGUGGCGAGCCUACUGGCUCUGUGUUUGUACAGCGUCUCCCUACACUCCGUCCAGGGCUCUGCUGCACCCUGCACUCUGCCAAGCAUUGACCUGUACACAUGGGCUGCACAAAAGUGCCCAGGAGAGUACCUAGAGGUAAGGAAUGAUUUGUGGGUGGUUCAUAAGCGUGUGUGUGUGUGUGCGGUGUGUGUGUGGACAGUUUGUCUUGUUUGCCACUAUGCUAUUUUAGUGCCCUGUAUUGUGUGUGGCACUGUGUUUUUUUUGUUGUUGUUUAUCCUUCCUUGUGCUUUUCUCUGUCCCAGGAGUUCUUCAGGAGUAUCAUAG